rnacentral:rRNA from 1 species
UACGGAGGGGGCUAGCGUUGUUCGGAAUUACUGGGCGUAAAGCGCGCGUAGGCGGACCUGCAAGUCGGGGGUGAAAGCCCGAGGCUCAACCUCGGAACUGCCUUCGAUACUGCGGGUCUCGAGUCCGGGAGAGGUGAGUGGAAUUCCUAGUGUAGAGGUGAAAUUCGUAGAUAUUUAGGAAGAACACCAGUGGCGAAGGCGGCUCACUGGCCCGGUACUGACACUGAGGCACGGAAAGCGUGGGGAGCAAACAGGG